rnacentral:lncRNA from 1 species
GAUGGUGCUAAUUUUCUCACUCAUGUGCUUUACUGACCACUUCUGAGCACAUGACUGGUGCUCAACAACUCUGGCCAGAAAGGAAUUGUUCUGCAGGGAUUGGAAACUUGCUUCUGAUCUCAUAAAUUGUCUGUCACAGGGCAGUGACUGUCCAUUCUCUUGGAGAAGACAACACAAAUGCUUUCUCAUCCAUAUGCCCAGCAGAAUUUAUCCUGAUGCAAUCUUCCUACACUGGUAGAAUGACCCCCGAGAUGAAUCAUAAAUAUUACAGAUGAAGACUUUCUACACGCUGGAAGGAUUAUGGUGAAGACGGGAAGGGCUCUCAUCUAGAAGGGAAGCCAGCAGGACCUUGCCACUAGCUGUCCUGCCCCCCUCAGCUGCUUGUGUUUCAUCUGGUGCUUAAUGGAGGCCCGCCUGAAGGAGGCUACAGGAGGACUAGCAUCUUUGCCCUUGUUCUUUCCAUUGCUCUGUGCAACAGAUCUUUGGUUGCUGAAACCCACAGUGGAAACAAAUGACUUGUCAAGGACCCUGAAGUAACAAACCGUAUGAACUUUAGGCCAUAGGAACCCUGAAGUUGCUUCAUUCCCAGGGACCGGAAGUUGUCAUGGGGGCUUCUAUGGCCCUUGAGAGGAAGAACAUGGGAUGCAACGCUCUUCUAACAAGGCCUAGAGACCAAGAGGGUACCAGGUGGCAAAGAUUGCCCAUUGUCGUCCAGCAAACACCUGGCAGCGGGAACUCAGAGCUUGCAAACCAGUGUGCUCGCCAAUUGAUGCCUGCGAAGUGACAGAGAGUGAGCUAUAGCAGACUGCACAGGCAAAGGUAAGGUGGGGGAGUGGCGAAUUCUUUCUAGGCAGUCAUUGGAGGCCCUCCAGAGGAGAAGACACUGGAGAAAAUGUUUUGGAAGAUGAAACUGAACUUUCUAGGUGAGAAAUUGGGGUAAUUUUAGGGAAAUAUGAUACUGUGAGCAAAUGCAUAAGGGCGUGAACGUGCAGGGAUUUGGGAGAACUAAAGUAACUUAAUGUAGCUAAAGCGCAGACCUGAAGCAGGGAGGGAGGACGCUGUGGGUGAGAAAUGAAAAUAGAACAGAGAGUUUCUUCCAGGCCGGCCCAUGGGGCUACUGAAGUAAGAAAUGCAAGAGUGG